rnacentral:rRNA from 1 species
CCUACGGGCGGCAGCAGUGGGGAAUAUUGCACAAUGGGGGAAACCCUGAUGCAGCAACGCCGCGUGAGUGAUGACGUACUUCGGUAUGUAAAGCUCUAUCAGCAGGGACGAAAAUGACGGUACCUGAGUAAGAAGCCACGGCUAACUACGUGCCAGCAGCCGCGGUAAUACGUAGGGGGCAAGCGUUAUCCGGAUUUACUGGGCGUAAAGGGAGCGUAGACAGCAGUGCAAGUCUGGAGUGAAAGACGGGGGCUCAACCCCAGGGCUGCACUGGAAACUGUAAGGCUGGAGUGCAGGAGAGGUGAAUGGAAUUCCUAGUGUAGCGGUGAAAUGCGUAGAGAUUAGGAGGAACACCAGUGGCGAAGGCGACUCUCUGGACUGUAACUGACGUUGAGGCUCGAAAGCGUGGGGAGCAAACAGGAUUAGAUACCCGAGUAGUC